UCUGGACGCAUGCGGCGACUUUCUCUGAGCUCUCGCGAGGUUUCCUCUUGCCGGAAGCAGCGGAGGGACUUCCCCGUUAACUGCGUCGCGAUGUGUGGGGACUGUGUGGAGAAGGAAUAUCCCAACCGGGGUAACAUCUGCCUGGAGAAUGGAUCUUUCUUGCUGAACUUUAUAGGCUGUGCAGUGUGCAGUAAGCGGGAUUUUAUGCUGAUCACAAACAAAUCUUUGAAAGAGGAAGAUGGAGAAGAAAUAGUUACCUAUGAUCCAGAUCUUUGUAAGAAUUGUCAUCACGUAAUAGCCAGGCAUGAGUAUACGUUCAGUAUCAUGGAUGAAUUUCAGCAGGCCCCGACUCCUGUGACUGGCCAGCUGGUAACUUCCAUCUUAGUCUGAUGACCCCAAGAACUCUUCAUGCUCAGCUGCUGUGACUUACUUUCCUCAGCCCCACCCCACUCCAGCCCCCAUCUUAUUCCAGCAGCCGUUCAGGUUCAAGAUGGGAUUCCCACCAUUGGAGUAUACCAUGCUGUGUCUGUUAUGUGGUAAAGCUGAAGAUACGAUCAGUAUUCUCCCUGACGACCCCCGACAAAUGACUCUGUUAUUCUAAGGAUCCUUCUGCAGCUCUGUAAUCACAAUGUUGUGUUGGUUUACAAUACAGCAAGCCUGAUGGUUUGUCUGACUUAGUUUAUAAUGGAAGUUAUUUGCAUAUUAUUUUUUUCUGCUUAGGCUUACCUAUUCUCUGAAAGAAAAAGUGGGACGUCCCUGGCGGUCCAGCGGUUAGGACUCGGCGCUUUCACUGCCAUGGCCCGGGUUCAAUCCCUGGUCCGGAAACUAAGAUCCCAUUAAUUGAGUGGCACAGCCAAAAAAAAAAAAAGUAAGAAAGAAAAAGUAAUUUAGGGGAUUGCUGUUCUCUAGAGCUGAGCUCUUCUGCUAAAGUUCCCAGUGCACAUCAGUGCAGCCAGAAUGAAGCAUCUUUGUUAGCAGCUAUGUGGCUGAAAAAUAACUAGGAUGGAAAGCACAUCUAGUGCCCAGAUCUUGGUUCCAAUAAAAGGAAUUAGGACUCCUUGGGGAAAUGACUGAGUCUAGGACUGGGGCAGUAAAUACACAGGGUGAGCUUGGAGCAUCUUGAGCCACAAAAAAGCGAAGUGCUGAAACGAAAAAUCACAAUGAUUGGGAGUAUGUCAAAGGGACAGAAGAGCCAGCUGAAGGAGCUCCCAGAGACCAAAGUUGGAACAGUUUGAGCAACAAAAUAAAGUAGUAUUGGAUUAUAAACCAAACUAUAAAUAUUCAUGAGUCCAUACUGAUAUAAAUGAAUGACUGAAUAAAUAAAUACAUAUACUGGAGAGAAUAGACAAAUCCCCCACACAGAAAAAUUUCAAAUAAUGUAUGUAGAUACUCCUCACUCCUUAAGUAUGGGUUUGCAUAGUGACUUCCUUCCAAAGAGUAUAGUAUGGAAAGGGGGAAAAGUGACUUUAACUUUUAGUUCACUGAGAAACCUGACAAACACUAGCCUGGUGAUCAAGAUUAUCAUCAUUGAUGAUGAGCCACGUUGAUAGCAUUACUCUUGAUAUGAUGUGAUGAGAAUGACACUUUGCCUUUGUGGUCUUCCUCCCCAAAACCCGUAACCCCAGUCUAAUCAUGAGAAAAACUUCAGACAAAUCCCAGUUGAGAGAGGAAUCCCAAUGGAGGAAAAUACCUGACCAGUACUCCUCAAAACUGUCAAGGUCAUCAAAGACAAGGAAGUCUGAGGAACUCUCACAGCCAAAAAAGAGCAUGACUAUUAAAUGUAAUGUGGUAUCCUGAAUGAGAUCCUGCACCAGAAAGAGAACAUUUGGUAAAACUAGUGAAAUCUGAAUAAAGUGUGGACUUUAGUUAAUAUAAAUAGAAUGGUUUCAAUUGCUCCAAAGGGAUCUUAGAAUAUCUUACCUUGCAUAGUUGAAAGAAUUCUGGCUUGGGUGUCAUAAAACCUGGCAUGUAGGCCUCUGCCAUUUGGUAGCAGUAUAACCAUUAAGCAAAGUGUCAUUCUGGACUUUAUUGUCCCCUUUCUAUAAAAUUGGACUAGUAUAAAUUGAUGUUAUACUUCCUUCACAGUAUUAUUAGAUCCAAAUGAACAAUGAAUAUAAAAUGCUUUGGAAGGCAUAUAAAGUUCUAGACAGAAUGAGAUGGUUUCAGUUAGUUCUUCUCAUUAUGAAAUCAAAACUUAAGGGUCAGGCAUUAAAACAGAAUUUUUUCCUAUUCAUAUCUCAGACAUUCUGAACUGAGUGAGCAAAGUUGUUGACAUCAGGGAAAAGCUUUGUUUUGUAACAGGAAUAAUGAUAAUAGCUGAGGUUUACUGAGUACUUACUAUGUGCCAAGGCCUUUUUAAGCAGUUGUUUAAUCCUCAUUAACAAUUCCAUGAGGGUAGGUACUAUUGUUAUCCCAGUUUUAGAGCCAGAGAAACUGAGGCACAAAGAAGUUAAGUAACUUAGUCCAGGUUACGUAGUUAGUACAGUGAUGCCCUCAGUAAUAGUGUUCAGUACACAUGAAGUAUCAGAGUCUAGCAAGGUUAGGAAGAGGUUGAGGAUAUCAGUGACAGCACUCUGAGGAAUCUAGGCAUGUCAGACCGAGAUUUAUUAUGCAGAAAAGUUAAGGCAGCUGUUCCUUAAGCAUCAGUUGUUUUAUUCCUGGAAAAUGCUUUCCACUUUCUGCAAAUCUAUAUCUGACCUGCUGAGGAAAUCGUUUGGUGAAAUGAAUCCAGAAAGCAGAGAAAAUGUUUCAUUACUUUAAAUAGCAGCACUAAGCCCAUUAUAGCUUCUGAAUUGUCCCUUCAUGGAGUUUGCUAAUGCUUCCAACUUAGUCAUUUGGAGCUCAAGAGUAUGAUUUUAUAUGCCCCUCCUGAUAUCCUUAUCUCUUGCAGAAUGUGUAAUUAUCUGUUUUAGACAAUAUAUUACAAAAAUUUUAAACAUAAGAUCCUGUCCAUAUAUUUCAUUAUUAUUAAACCAGCAUUGUACUGUGUUUUGCGAUACUUUAUCAUCUUCUAGAAUUCUUUUAUGGAUCUAAUAGAAUAAAGACCUCUUGAACUCA